rnacentral:tRNA from 1 species
AAGCUUUUUAACUAUAUAAGUAUAUAUUUUGAAAAUAUAAAAAAGAGGUUUCUCUAUAAGCUUA